UAAUCCUACGGGAGGCAGCAGUAGGGAAUCUUCCACAAUGGACGAAAGUCUGAUGGAGCAACGCCGCGUGAGUGAAGAAGGGUUUCGGCUCGUAAAGCUCUGUUGGUAGUGAAGAAAGGUAGAGGGAGGAACUGGCCUUUAUUUGACGGUAAAUACUUAGAAAGUCACGGCGAACUAAGUGCCAGCAGCCGCGGGAAUACGUAGGUGGGAAGCGGUGUCCGGAUUUAUUGGGCGUAAAGCGGGUGCAGGCGGGUG
rnacentral:rRNA from 1 species